GCAGCCCCCCCAAGGCACCCGGAUUUCACCAAUGCCAACAUCGCCCGCCUGGUGCUGGGCGCCGCGGUCCUGCUCGUCCUGGGGCCGAUCCUAGCCAAGGCCUAUUACAGCCGCCCGAGGGAGGUGCCCUAGGAGCCUGGAUCUGGCUAUACAGAGAAGAGAAUCUCCCCAGGGGAGGAACCGCUUCCUCUUGGGGGUCUGAGACACCAGCACAAACUCCCCUGCCCCCAAACACCCCUGCCUCAAAAAUCCCACUCCCCAGACUGCUCCCGACCCAACUGCUGCACCCCAGGAUUGACCCCCUGACUUCUGGCCCCACGAGCACCAGCCCCUGCGAUAACAGCUAGAGGAGCUGCCCCAGUGCUGGGCGUGUCGGGCUCCCCACAGAGCAGCCCCUGGAUGGCGUCGGGGUCCCACUUCCUGGCCCUGAUGGGCCGGUCUCUGCCUGGGGCUGUCAGUGGGGAGCGGGGAGGCUGCGUCUGACCCUGGCACUGGAAAAUGGCACUUACUGCCCCGCAGGUGUCUGUCCCCCUCCUCUCUCUGCAGCGGGGUCCCCCAGUCCCUUUUCUCUGCCCCUUUCUCCCCACCCUGUAUUUCUAUUGUACAAACCCCCAGAGCUUCCUUCUCCCCUGCCCCCCAAAUCUCCCCACGCCAGUGGGCGGCUGUGAUUCCGGAGCCUCCAAAUGUCCCCUCGUGGUGGGUUCAGCUGACGAAGGUGAGUGAGAAGUUCAGGCAGCGUCAUGAGAACCUGGAUGAAUGAACAUUGGGGGGAAAAUUGGUGAGACAGAAAGACGGGAUUAGUCCAACCCGAGUGGCCGCCAGACAGAACCCACGGGCCGGGCUGGGGCCUGCCUGGGACACGGGAGAAUUGGGGGAGCCGAAAUCCCUGACCCACAAUUGGGGUGUUGGAAACAAGGCCUCAUUGGUGGAUAAAAUAUUGCGGGGACGGGCUGUGCCGCCCACCAUCCUU